UACGGAGGAUCCGAGCGUUAUCCGGAUUUAUUGGGUUUAAAGGGUGCGUAGGCGGCCGAGUAAGUCAGCGGUGAAAUUUUGCAGCUUAACUGUAACAGUGCCGUUGAUACUGCAUGGCUAGGAUUUGGUUGCUGUGGGUGGAAUGUGUGGUGUAGCGGUGAAAUGCUUAGAUAUCACACAGAAUAUCAAUUGCGAAGGCAGCUCACAAAGCCAAGAUUGACGCUGAGGCACGAAAGUGUGGGGAGUCAAACA
rnacentral:rRNA from 1 species